AGAUUGAACGCUGGCGGCAGGCCUAACACAUGCAAGUCGAGCGGCAGCACGGGUACUUGUACCUGGUGGCGAGCGGCGGACGGGUGAGUAAUGCCUAGGAAUCUGCCUGAUAGUGGGGGAUAACGUUCGGAAACGGACGCUAAUACCGCAUACGUCCUACGGGAGAAAGUGGGGGAUCUUCGGACCUCACGCUAUCAGAUGAGCCUAGGUCGGAUUAGCUAGUUGGUAGGGUAAAGGCCUACCAAGGCUACGAUCCGUAACUGGUCUGAGAGGAUGAUCAGUCACACUGGAACUGAGACACGGUCCAGACUCCUACGGGAGGCAGCAGUGGGGAAUAUUGGACAAUGGGCGAAAGCCUGAUCCAGCCGUGCCGCGUGUGUGAAGAAGGUCUUCGGAUUGUAAAGCACUUUAAGUUGGAGGAAGGCAUUAAACCUAAUACGUUAGUGUUUUGACGUUACGACAGAAUAAGCACCGGCUAACUCUGUGCCAGCAGCCG
rnacentral:rRNA from 1 species